UACAGAGGUCUCAAGCGUUGUUCGGAUUCAUUGGGCAUAAAGGGUGCGUAGGCGGCGCGGUAAGUCGGGUGUGAAAUUUCGAGGCUUAACUUCGAAACUGCAUUCGAUACUGCCGUGCUUGAGGACUGGAGAGGAGACUGGAAUUUACGGUGUAGCGGUGAAAUGCGUAGAUAUCGUAAGGAAGACCAGUGGCGAAGGCGGGUCUCUGGACAGUUCCUGACGCUGAGGCACGAAGGCCAGGGGAGCAAACGGG
rnacentral:rRNA from 1 species